GCCGAAGAUUGUCAUUGUACACGAUGAUAUUGUUACAUUCUGAGAGCUUGAGCUAAUCAGCCAUUCCUUCCUCGGAAGGAAGUGCGUUGAGAUCGAUCGCCCGAAUCUUCGUCUUGCUCCCACCAAUCUGUUGUUAAUCACAACAGCAUCUUCUCUUCCUCCAACAUCAAUUCCUGUUCAAAAUCAAGGCAUAAAUAAGGUGUGGAAUCCAAUGGACUUCCAACACAAAGACACAACAAAACAGAGCCAAGAAAUAUCAAAAUCCGUUGGCUGGGAAGCAGCAUAAUACAUUCCAUUUCUACCUUUUUAGCAAGAUUGGUAGCUUAUAUUAGUUGAGAUUAAGAAUGAGAGUCCAGUUACCUUAGUUUCUCUGGUCUGUAUUAGUGCGGUCUCAAAUUGUUUCUCAAGAUUUAUAAAGUCGGCGACGCUGAGGUCGUCGGCGGAUGGCUCCUCAAGAUCCCUGCUAAAAUAGGAAAAACUGUUGUAGCCAUUAAUCCCAUCUUAACAAAGUAGAAUAAAGUAAAAUAGAGGGAGGGCUGAAGUUGCUGCCUUUCCACAA